rnacentral:misc_RNA from 1 species
AAAGUCGUAACAAGGUCUCCGUUGGUGAACCAGCGGAGGGAUCAUUAUCGAGUUUACAACUCCCAAACCCACUGUGAACCGUACCUACCGUUGCUUCGGCGGGACAGCCCCGGUGCCCUCGCGGUCCGGAACCAGGCCCCCGCCGGAGGACCCCCAAACCUCUGUUUUCCAUACCCAUGGUACUUUUUUCUGAGUGGCGAAAGCACAAAAAUAAUUAAAACUUUCAACAACGGAUCUCUUGGUUCUG